rnacentral:rRNA from 1 species
UACAGAGGGGCAAGCGUUAUUCGGAAUUAUUGGGCGUAAAGGGCGCGUAGGCGGCUUGGCAAGUGGAAGGUGAAAUACCCCUCGGCUUAACCGAGGAACUGCCUUCCAGACUGCUUUGCUUGAGGCCGGAGAGGCGAGUGGAAUUCCAGUGUAGCGGUGAAAUGCGUAGAUAUUGGGAGGAACACCAGUGGCGAAGGCGGCUCGCUGGACCGGUUCUGACGCUGAGGCGCGAAAGCGUGGGAGCAACGGG